GACGAACGCUGGCGGCGUGCCUAAUACAUGCAAGUAGAACGCACAGUUUAUACCGUAGCUUGCUGCACCAUAGACUGUGAGUUGCGAACGGGUGAGUAACGCGUACGUAACCUGCCUGGUAGCGGGGGAUAACUAUUUGAAACGAUAGCUAAUACCGCAUAAUAUUAAUUAUUGCAUACUAAUUGAGUGAAAGGUGCAAUUGCACCACUACCAGAUGGGCCUGCGUUGUAUUAGCUAGUAGGUGAGGUAACGGCUCACCUAGGCGAAGAUACAUAGCCGACCUGAGAGGGUGAUCGGCCAAACUGGGACUGAGACACGGGCCAGAAUCCUACGGGAGGCAGCAGUAGGGAAUCUUCGGACAUGGACGAAAGUCUGAACGAGCAACGCCGCGUGAGAGAAGAAGGUUCUCGGAUCGGAAAGCUCUGUUGUAAGAGAAGAACGGGUGUGAGAGUGGAAAGUUCACGCUGUGACGGUACCUUAACAGAAAGGGACGGCUAACUACGUG
rnacentral:rRNA from 1 species